UUUUCUGGAAAGCAUGAUGCAGCCAUUACUCCUGGAAGCAUUACUUUUAAAGAAGACAUGAUACCUGAUGAAAUGCAAGGCUAGCUCAGGCAUUUUCACACAUGGGUGACAGGAAGCUCCUGUGUUUCCCAGCUCCCCACUGUGAUUCACAUCCAUCCUCUCUCUGCAGUCACGCCUAAAGUCUCCCGGGAUUUCCCCCCUUCAUUUGCUCGGUGCCUGUCAGGUAAAGAGAAACCUCCCACCCAAGUGAUCUUCUUACAUGGACAGAAAACAACUGUGAACAAAAAAGUACCAAAUGUCAUCAUUGACUCAAAAUCCAAGUUUCCCACUCUAUGAGGAAGAUUUGCAAUCACACCAUAUCAAUGAAAUAAGUAAGAAUCACCAACUCUUCCACCAGAUAAGUUUUAAGAGAAAAUCCUUACUUCGUUAUUGCUCCCUACAUGCCCUUCUCUUUGCCAUUUGCCUGCUGCCUGGCUUUUUCCAUAUCUCAAAUUUCUGUGCUCCGUGGGAAUUAAAGUACUGACUGUGAAUUUCGACUGCAAGGCCAACAUCUACCUUUUAGGCUACAGAGGCUGAAACAUCUGCAAAAGUCUGGUAUUGGGGGAAAAAUCUGCAGAUACACACCUCUUCGAGACCAAAAUGAAGGUUGAGUGGGGCACGAGACAACAUCAAUCUGACACAGGUGCUGAAAGUUCUUCUAUCUGAGCUCCAGACAGAGGAUGAAAAAAAUGGUGGUUUUAAUGUUGUUCAACAUGUUCUGUCUGACAGCUUCUGGCUGUUUCCUGGAAAGCAGUUGUUUUACUAUUAGUUCAUGGUACAGAUUUCCCAGCAGUCUGGAAGAGGGGUUAAAAAUGAAGUAACCAAACAUUCAUCACUCCUAACCAGAAUCAUCAGUGCUGUGAAGUUUCAUUCCUUCAUGUAUUUUAAGGUACAUGUCCAUACACACUGCAGAUUAUGGUAUACAACAUAUAAUCUCUUCCAGUCAGAAUCAAAGAUUUUUGCAACAUGGUUAGGAAGCUUUCAUGCCACUAAUGUUUCUCAAAAAUUAUUUACAAAGGAGACUGCAUAACUAAAAGGACUGCAAUACGAUAGCCUUUCAUCUGUGUUUAACUCAGAGGAAACCAGCAUGGAUACAUUCUAAUGUUAAUACUUCUAGGUAAGUCUGUUCGUUGCAGUGAUUAAAAAAAAAACCCAAAACCACAAACAAAAAAAACCCACCCAAAACACAACCUGGGAGGAUAAGAACAUUGUAUGAUAGACCCUCCAUAAAGAAAGAGAAACACGUUCAAGUAGGCUACAGCACACUGCAAAAACUGGUCAUGUAAUGACUGCUCAGUAAGUGGUUUACAGUAAGAGCUCUGACUCAUCUACUCCGAAGCAAACACCUGCAGGAGCUUAAGACCUUACUGCCACUCAUUAUCUGCCUAUCCCCUUACUGGUGAUUACUGCUCUUAAGGCAGAAGCUACAGACUGGGGUGUGUCCAUGUCUCAGCACAGCCAU